rnacentral:misc_RNA from 1 species
GUACCCUCAAGCUUUGCUUGGUGUUGGGCGUCUUGUCUCUAGCUUUGCUGGAGACUCGCCUUAAAGUAAUUGGCAGCCGGCCUACUGGUUUCGGAGCGCAGCACAAGUCGCAAUUGUUACUACUGUAGUACUGUCCACAAGUCAUUUUAUCAC